rnacentral:lncRNA from 10 species
UAUAUUUUCACCUGUGAGGCAAUAUCUGAAAAUUGUAGGCUACAGCCUCCAAAGGGGGAUGAGGGAGACCUAAAGGUCCAGGUCUUCAGCCGUGAGUCGGAACCCCAGCUGGGAGGGAGGUACAGCGUCAGAGGCUCCCCUCGCCUGCAUGGCAGCAGAGGAAACUUGCAUCGAAGGGGCCAGUACUGUGGAUGCGAGGGAGCCAUUCUUGGAGGUGGAACCCGCAAGGAAGGCGCACCGGGGAGGAAAGGGAGGGGGCAGAGAUCACCCUAGGAAUGUGCACAGGGGGCAGCUGCCGGUGGAGGGUGUUUGGGGGGACGGCGUAGGACGGGGAUCCCUUGGGCUAGGAGGGCGAGAACUGCUGCGCCAUCAGGUGGCAGCUUUGGGGCUGCUAGGAAAAAUGGCUGCCAGGGGUCCUGUAAAGCAAAGCUUGCUUGGAGAAUGGGCGAAGAUGUAUGUGUGGAGGAGCUGAGACACUCAAAGGAUUAACCCCCUGGCCCAGGUCACCGACUUGUCGUGGAGUUCAUUGGAAUGUGAUGGGAAGGAGGAGAAGAAGGAGAAGGUGAUGGAGAGUCUCCUGGAGGCAGCUGAAUUUUUGGCAUGGCCGAGAAGACCUGGGGUGGACCCUUGACCCGCAUUGGGCCCACUCUUGCUUCUCUCCCGGGAACUAAGACUUAGGAUUUAUGAAUGCUGGUCUGUCUGUGCAGGAAUGGUGUGUGAGGGGAGGGAGGCAGCAUGGUGAUUUGUGAAGGGCUGAACUCAGACAGACCUAGGUUUAAGUUCUGGUCAUCUCACUUGCUGUGUGACCUUGGACAAGUCACUUCACUUCUCUGAGCCUCUCUCCAACAACGGGGCUAAUAAUCCCUGCCUUAUAAAGUUGUGGUGAUGAUUAAAAAGUGGCUGGGAAUGGUAGCUCUUGGAAAUAGUAGACAGUCAAUAAAUGU